AGUUUGAUCCUGGCUCAGGAUGAACGCUAGCGGCAGGCCUAAUACAUGCAAGUCGAACGGGAUUGGAGAGCUUGCUUUCCAUGAGAGUGGCGUACGGGUGCGUAACGCGUAUGCAACCUACCUUCAUCAGGGGGAUAGCCCGAAGAAAUUCGGAUUAACACCGCAUAACAUUAUUGGAUGGCAUCAUUUAGUAAUCAAAUAUUUAUAGGAUGAAGAUGGGCAUGCGUGUCAUUAGCUAGUUGGUGAGGUAACGGCUCACCAAGGCGACGAUGACUAGGGGAUCUGAGAGGAUGACCCCCCACACUGGUACUGAGACACGGACCAGACUCCUACGGGAGGCAGCAGUAAGGAAUAUUGGUCAAUGGAGGCAACUCUGAACCAGCCAUGCCGCGUGCAGGAAGACUGCCUUAUGGGUUGUAAACUGCUUUUAUACGGGAAUAAACCUUGAUUCGUGAAUCGAGCUGAAUGUACCGUAAGAAUAAGGAUCGGCUAACUCCGUGCCAGCAGCCGCGGUAAUACGGAGGAUCCAAGCGUUAUCCGGAUUUAUUGGGUUUAAAGGGAGCGUAGGCGGCCUAUUAAGUCAGGGGUGAAAGACGGUGGCUCAACCAUCGCAGUGCCUUUGAUACUGGUAGGCUUGAAUGUAGUUGAGGUAGGCGGAAUGUGACAAGUAGCGGUGAAAUGCAUAGAUAUGUCGCAGAACACCGAUUGCGAAGGCAGCUUACUAAACUAUGAUUGACGCUGAGGCUCGAAAGCGUGGGGAUCAAACAGGAUUAGAUACCCUGGUAGUCCACGCCCUAAACGAUGAUAACUCGAUGUUGGCGAUAUACAGUCAGCGUCCAGGCGAAAGCGUUAAGUUAUCCACCUGGGGAGUACGCCCGCAAGGGUGAAACUCAAAGGAAUUGACGGGGGCCCGCACAAGCGGAGGAGCAUGUGGUUUAAUUCGAUGAUACGCGAGGAACCUUACCCGGGCUUGAAAGUUACUGAAGAAUUUAGAGAUAGAUUCGUCCUUCGGGACAGGAAACUAGGUGCUGCAUGGCUGUCGUCAGCUCGUG
rnacentral:rRNA from 1 species